AUAAAAUUUGAUUGAUAAUUUUUUGUGCAGGCCAUCAUGGUUAAAUGUAAUAAAUUGUUUGAAUGAAAUGCAUAAACCACAGUCUAACUAAUGCAGAUUUAAGCUGCUCAAAAUUAAAUGUCAUGGAGAUAAUAUCAUGAGUUAUGUGAUAAAUUUGAAUUUGCUACUACUAGUGAUAUUCAGAUAGAAUCAGAUUUAGAAAACUGUAACUAUUUUAAACGAUACUUAAUUCAAGUAUUAUUAGUUUUAUUUUGAUAUUAAAUUUUAUAGGAGCCACUACCAUGCCUAUGCAAGAAAAAACAUAGUAACCAACAGAAUAGUAAGCAAGUACCUACUCUUGUAAC